UCGUGUUUCUAUAUGUAACUUCUGAGUAAAACCAUAAAUAAAUCAAAACUUUCAACAACGGAUCUCUUGGUUCUGGCAUCGAUGAAGAACGCAGCAAAAUGCGAUAAGUAAUGUGAAUUGCAGAAUUCAGUGAAUCAUCGAAUCUUUGAACGCACAUUGCGCCCGCCAGUAUUCUGGCGGGCAUGCCUGUUCGAGCGUCAUUUCAACCCUCAAGCCCAGCUUGGUGUUGGGACUCGCGAGUCAAAUCGCGUUCCCCAAAUUGAUUGGCGGUCACGUCGAGCUUCCAUAGCGUAGUAGUAAAACCCUCGUUACUGGUAAUCGUCGCGGCCACGCCGUUAAACCCCAACUUCUGAAUGUUGACCUCGGAUCAGGUAGGAAUACCCGCUGAACUUAAGCAUAUCAAUAAGCGGAGGAA
rnacentral:sRNA from 1 species